CCCGCACGGGGAGGGGUUCGGAGCGGGCAAUUUGCACACAAGAGCGAGCAGCACCGCCGCGGCUGCCUUUGCCCGGGUCGCCCUUUUAUUUAUUUCAUUCGCCGCCGCUUCUCCUUCCCCCUCUCCAAGCAGCCGGUGCUGUUCUUGGCGCUUCUUCUCCUCCUCCUCCUCGCAGGCAGCAGCCGGCAACCGCGAGCUGACGGUGCCAUCCUGCAGGAAACGGAGCCCGCAGGCAGGGAGGUUUGUUCUCUUCCCUACGGAGGAUGCAGAGCGCGAGGAGAAAAGAGAUCAAUGGCACCACUUCUGGACAUGUGGAAACAGAAAAGGGCCUUCUCCAUGAUGGUGCCCCAGCUGUGAAACUCCCUCCAUAAAGGACCAUGAAUGACUAUGACAAUGAUUGGCUUCUGCUGCAUAAUGAAGACUUACAUACUUGCUCUCCAAGGUUUUGGAGCCCAUGUUUAUUUUAUUUUUUAACCUUUAUUAUAUAAUAGUUGUUGUGAUUUUUUUCCUUGCUUUUUUCCCUUGCUUUUUAUAAUAUGGGCUUCUUAUUGGUAAUUACUGUCGAUAUCAUCCUAUUGAUAUCUGAGGUCCUUUUUAAAAAACGAAAAGUGGUAUACAAGAAUGCUAGAUAAAAUUAAGUGAUGUCAAA